AUGAACGCUGGCGGCGUGCCUAAUACAUGCAAGUCGAGCGAACAGACGAGGAGCUUGCUCCUCUGACGUUAGCGGCGGACGGGUGAGUAACACGUGGAUAACCUACCUAUAAGACUGGGAUAACUUCGGGAAACCGGAGCUAAUACCGGAUAACAUGUUGAACCGCAUGGUUCAACAGUGAAAGACGGUUUUGCUGUCACUUAUAGAUGGAUCCGCGUCGCAUUAGCUAGUUGGUAAGGUAACGGCUUACCAAGGCAACGAUGCGUAGCCGACCUGAGAGGGUGAUCGGCCACACUGGAACUGAGACACGGUCCAGACUCCUACGGGAGGCAGCAGUAGGGAAGCUUCCGCAAUGGGCGAAAGCCUGACGGAGCAACGCCGCGUGAGUGAAGAAGGUCUUCGGAUCGUAAAACUCUGUUAUUAGGGAAGAACAAAUGUGUAAGUAACUAUGCACGUCUUGACGGUACCUAAUCAGAAAGCCACGGCUAACUACGUG
rnacentral:rRNA from 1 species